GUACAUGCCUAUAACAUUAACACACUCGAUCCCAUUAGAAAUUUGCAGUUAAGAACACUUGGGCUAGAGUAGUACUAGGAUGGGUGGCCGCCCAAGAAUUCCUAGUGUCUUACAUG
rnacentral:rRNA from 1 species